GAAGAAAGAAAAAAGAAGAAAAAUCGACGAUGACGAUCCGAACACAAUGAAGACGGUGAGGUGCAGAGGUCGUCCCGAAGACAUGAAACAUCCCGAGAGAACACCAUCAAAAUCCCUAUAUUUCGUCACGUCGACAACCUCCCAACAACACACGGGAGGACAACAAGAACCACGACUCCCACGCAAUGCCACCGCGUCGUACAAAGAGAAGCCACGAUAAGACAAGAAAGGAACCACGAGACAAGCCACAAACAAAAAACCAUGAAAGAAAACGCCACAAACAAAAAAGAA